UAUUUAAAGUCAACCAUUUGGUUAAUAGUCCGCUUAGACUAUUCAGAAACUUCUUAGUAGAAGAGUUUACUAGCCCUUGGUUAGUCAAGAAUCAACUAAUCAAUAAAGUAUUUCCUACUUGACUUCUUGACAUAAAGGAAGAGUGACCAAGUCUCUGGCCGCUCACAAUUUAGCACUAUCUCUUUCCCCUUAGCACCAUAUUUUCACUUACCCAGAAAAAAACCUCAAGAUUUCAAUUCUUACCAUGGAAUCGUUCUCCCCCAACAAAAUCUCAAUGACAUCAGUUAAAGAUAGCCAUAAUUUGAAUGAUCAAACGUACUCAAGAAGAAGAAAGCAGCAGCUCAAGUUGUUCAUCGCUUUAAUCAUCUUUUUCAUUCUCUUAAUCGCUGCCAUUAUCUCUGUUUUAACGAUGAUUAAGCGAGAUUAUGAAUCUGAGUCACCUGCCAAUAACCCACACAAGGCAAUCGAAACCAUUUGCUCCCUGACUCCGUACUACCAGGAUUGCUUCAGUCAACCCCAAGUCAAUGCGAGGCUUUGUUCAACAGUUCAGUGAGUCAACUGAAACAACGAGAAAAAUUUGACAGUAAAGAUGAACUUGAGAUCUGAAAUGAUGAGCUGGCUCGAAACUGAGAGGCCCAAAAUUGGGAGAUGCUUGUAUUGGUUGGAGUAUGAGAUGGAGUUGGAUACGAAAAACGCAAGCAAUAGCUUAAUGAUUCUGGCAAAUAUGAACAAGAUUAAUGAGAUGUUUAACCCAUCGAUUACUAGUGUCCUGGGUUUUGAUUUAUUUCAACGCUCGGGGAAAACUAUCUUAGCUUUGUUUCUGUCGGAUAAUGACUUCGUGGGCACCGUAUGUGUUUUUGGCUUGCAGUUUACUUUCUUGCUGAUUUUGGUAUGUCUGCUUUUACGUGUAUGGUGAUACUACAUAUGUCAUUCAAUUUUAUGUAGUGUGUAGUACGUGGUUCGUCACUCUUUGAGUUUUCUGGAAUUAUGAAUAAAAUAAUAUGGGUAUUUAUCUUUA